AGUAAUGCUUGGGAAUCUAGCUUAUGGAGGGGGAUAACUACGGGAAACUGUAGCUAAUACCGCGUAGAAUCGGGAGAUGAAAGUGUGGGACCUUCGGGCCACAUGCCAUAGGACGAGCCCAAGUGGGAUUAGGUAGUUGGUGAGGUAAAGGCUCACCAAGCCGACGAUCUCUAGCUGGUCUGAGAGGAUGACCAGCCACACUGGGACUGAGACACGGCCCAG
rnacentral:rRNA from 1 species